GGGUUGUGAGGUUAAGCGACUAAGCGUACACGGUGGAUGCCCUGGCAGUCAGAGGCGAUGAAGGACGUGCUAAUCUGCGAUAAGCGUCGGUAAGGUGAUAUGAACCGUUAUAACCGGCGAUUUCCGAAUGGGGAAACCCAGUGUGUUUCGACACACUAUCAUUAACUGAAUCCAUAGGUUAAUGAGGCGAACCGGGGGAACUGAAACAUCUAAGUACCCCGAGGAAAAGAAAUCAACCGAGAUUCCCCCAGUAGCGGCGAGCGAACGGGGAAGAGCCCAGAGCCUGAAUCAGUGUGUGUGUUAGUGGAAGCGUCUGGAAAGGCGCGCGAUACAGGGUGACAGCCCCGUACACAAAAAUGCACAUAUUGUGAGCUCGAUGAGUAGGGCGGGACACGUGGUAUCCUGUCUGAAUAUGGGGGGACCAUCCUCCAAGGCUAAAUACUCCUGACUGACCGAUAGUGAACCAGUACCGUGAGGGAAAGGCGAAAAGAACCCCGGCGAGGGGAGUGAAAAAGAACCUGAAACCGUGUACGUACAAGCAGUGGGAGCCCUGAUUUAUCAGGGUGACUGCGUACCUUUUGUAUAAUGGGUCAGCGACUUAUAUUCUGUAGCAAGGUUAACCGAAUAGGGGAGCCGGAGGGAAACCGAGUCUUAACUGGGCGUUAAGUUGCAGGGUAUAGACCCGAAACCCGGUGAUCUAGCCAUGGGCAGGUUGAAGGUUGGGUAACACUAACUGGAGGACCGAACCGACUAAUGUUGAAAAAUUAGCGGAUGACUUGUGGCUGGGGGUGAAAGGCCAAUCAAACCGGGAGAUAGCUGGUUCUCCCCGAAAGCUAUUUAGGUAGCGCCUCGUGAAUUCAUCUCCGGGGGUAGAGCACUGUUUCGGCAAGGGGGUCAUCCCGACUUACCAACCCGAUGCAAACUGCGAAUACCGGAGAAUGUUAUCACGGGAGACACACGGCGGGUGCUAACGUCCGUCGUGAAGAGGGAAACAACCCAGACCGCCAGCUAAGGUCCCAAAGUCAUGGUUAAGUGGGAAACGAUGUGGGAAGGCCCAGACAGCCAGGAUGUUGGCUUAGAAGCAGCCAUCAUUUAAAGAAAGCGUAAUAGCUCACUGGUCGAGUCGGCCUGCGCGGAAGAUGUAACGGGGCUAAACCAUGCACCGAAGCUGCGGCAGCGACGCUGAUGCGUUGUUGGGUAGGGGAGCGUUCUGUAAGCCUGUGAAGGUGGCCUGUGAGGGUUGCUGGAGGUAUCAGAAGUGCGAAUGCUGACAUAAGUAACGAUAAAGCGGGUGAAAAGCCCGCUCGCCGGAAGACCAAGGGUUCCUGUCCAACGUUAAUCGGGGCAGGGUGAGUCGACCCCUAAGGCGAGGCCGAAAGGCGUAGUCGAUGGGAAACAGGUUAAUAUUCCUGUACUUGGUGUUACUGCGAAGGGGGGACGGAGAAGGCUAUGUUGGCCGGGCGACGGUUGUCCCGGUUUAAGCGUGUAGGCUGGUUUUCCAGGCAAAUCCGGAGAAUCAAGGCUGAGGCGUGAUGACGAGGCACUACGGUGCUGAAGCAACAAAUGCCCUGCUUCCAGGAAAAGCCUCUAAGCAUCAGGUAACAUCAAAUCGUACCCCAAACCGACACAGGUGGUCAGGUAGAGAAUACCAAGGCGCUUGAGAGAACUCGGGUGAAGGAACUAGGCAAAAUGGUGCCGUAACUUCGGGAGAAGGCACGCUGAUGGUAGGUGAAGCGACUUGCUCGUGGAGCUGAAAUCAGUCGAAGAUACCAGCUGGCUGCAACUGUUUAUUAAAAACACAGCACUGUGCAAACACGAAAGUGGACGUAUACGGUGUGACGCCUGCCCGGUGCCGGAAGGUUAAUUGAUGGGGUCAGCGCAAGCGAAGCUCUUGAUCGAAGCCCCGGUAAACGGCGGCCGUAACUAUAACGGUCCUAAGGUAGCGAAAUUCCUUGUCGGGUAAGUUCCGACCUGCACGAAUGGCGUAAUGAUGGCCAGGCUGUCUCCACCCGAGACUCAGUGAAAUUGAACUCGCUGUGAAGAUGCAGUGUACCCGCGGCAAGACGGAAAGACCCCGUGAACCUUUACUAUAGCUUGACACUGAACACUGGUCCUUGAUGUGUAGGAUAGGUGGGAGGCUUUGAAGUGUGGACGCCAGUCUGCAUGGAGCCGUCCUUGAAAUACCACCCUUUAAUGGCUGGUGUUCUAACGUUGGCCCCUUAUCGGGGUUGCGGACAGUGUCUGGUGGGUAGUUUGACUGGGGCGGUCUCCUCCUAAAGAGUAACGGAGGAGCACGAAGGUUGGCUAAUCCUGGUCGGACAUCAGGAGGUUAGUGUAAUGGCAUAAGCCAGCUUGACUGCGAGCGUGACGGCGCGAGCAGGUGCGAAAGCAGGUCAUAGUGAUCCGGUGGUUCUGAAUGGAAGGGCCAUCGCUCAACGGAUAAAAGGUACUCCGGGGAUAACAGGCUGAUACCGCCCAAGAGUUCAUAUCGACGGCGGUGUUUGGCACCUCGAUGUCGGCUCAUCACAUCCUGGGGCUGAAGUAGGUCCCAAGGGUAUGGCUGUUCGCCAUUUAAAGUGGUACGCGAGCUGGGUUUAGAACGUCGUGAGACAGUUCGGUCCCUAUCUGCCGUGGGCGCUGGAGAACUGAGGGGGGCUGCUCCUAGUACGAGAGGACCGGAGUGGACGCAUCACUGGUGUUCGGGUUGUCAUGCCAAUGGCACUGCCCGGUAGCUAAAUGCGGAAGAGAUAAGUGCUGAAAGCAUCUAAGCACGAAACUUGCCCCGAGAUGAGUUCUCCCUGAGACUUUAAGUCUCCUGAAGGAACGUUGAAGACGACGACGUUGAUAGGCCGGGUGUGUAAGCGCAGCGAUGCGUUGAGCUGACCGGUACUAAUGAACCGUGAGGCUUAACCUUACAACGCCGAAGGUGUUU
rnacentral:rRNA from 1 species